AACGAACGCUGGCGGCAGGCUUAACACAUGCAAGUCGAACGGUGUAGCAAUACACAGUGGCAGACGGGUGAGGAACACGUGGGAACAUCCCUUUCGGUUCGGAAUAACGUUGGGAAACUAACGCUAAUACCGGAUACGUCCUUCGGGAGAAAGAUUUAUUGCCGAGAGAUUGGCCCGCGUCUGAUUAGCUAGUUGGUGAGGUAACGGCUCACCAAGGCUACGAUCAGUAGCUGAUCUGAGAGGAUGAUCAGCCACAUUGGGACUGAGACACGGCCCAAACUCCUACGGGAGGCAGCAGUGGGGAAUAUUGGACAAUGGGCGCAAGCCUGACCCAGCCAUGCCGCGUGAGUGAUGAAGGCCCUCGGGUUGUAAAGCUCUUUUAUCCGGGAAGAUAAUGACUGUACCGGAAGAAUAAGCCCCGGCAAACUUCGUGCCAGCAGCCGCCGUAAGAC
rnacentral:rRNA from 1 species